UACAGAGGGUGCUAGCGUUGUUCGGAAUCAUUGGGCGUAAAGGGCGUGUAGGCGGUUUGCUAAGUCAUGUGUGAAAUCCCUCGGCUCAACCGGGGAACGACGCAUGAAACUGGCAAGCUAGAGUACCAAAGAGGGGGGUGGAAUUCCCGGUGUAGCGGUGAAAUGCUUAGAUAUCGUCAAGAACACCUAUUGCGAAGGCAGCUAACUAAGCUUUAACUGACGCUGAGGCACGAAAGUGUGGGGAUCAAACAGG
rnacentral:rRNA from 1 species